rnacentral:sRNA from 1 species
AGCGGGAUCUGGAACUCGUGCAUGAUCCGGUAGGGGAGCGAGGCGAAGAUCAGGUCGGCCUUGCGCGUCGUCAC